UAACCUGCCCAAGAGACUGGGAUAACACCUGGAAACAGAUGCUAAUGCCGGAUAACAACACUAGACGCAUGUCUAGAGUUUAAAAGAUGGUUCUGCUAUCACUCUUGGAUGGACCUGCGGUGCAUUAGCUAGUUGGUAAGGUAACGGCUUACCAAGGCAAUGAUGCAUAGCCUAGUUGAGAGACUGAUCGGCCACAUUGGGACUGAGGCACGGCCCAAACUCCUAGGGAGGCAGCAGAC
rnacentral:rRNA from 1 species